GAAGAUCUAUUCCUUCUUGAAAGACCUGGGCCAUGGCUGUCCAAGUCUUCCUAGGUGUCAUCAUUCACUAUAAUAUUUCUCAUCAAUCAGUUACCGUCCUAAAAGGAUCAGCUGAAGGCCAUCAAUUGCAUCGAACAUCCUAAGAAGAAAGAAUCACACCUGGCCAGCAUCCUAAUAGUGAGCAACCUUUCUGCUUUCCUCAAGAGUCAACAGAAAAAGAUGAAGACUCUGACACUGCUGGCAUGCAUUUGUGCACUGACUGCUUGCUUCUCACUCUGUGAAGGUUGGAAAAAGCAAGGGAAAAUACAUCACAAAAGGAAUAAUGUCCAACAAUAUACAGUAGACCGCCGAUUACCAACUCAUCUCAAAUUUCACCCUAACUGGAAUAUAUUAAUUCAAAAGCAUUUAAUUUUUGGUCCACACAGAUACCCAAAGCUUCCAAAUCCAAACAGAAGAAAACCAAAGCCGAACCGUCCCCAGCCACCUAAGUGUCCAACUAAAACUAACACCGUUGUCAACAAUAGCACCUCAGAGGCCAACAUUCAAAUCCCAUCUUUGAGUCCCAUAACUACUUCCAACAAAAUUGUUACAUCUCCAGGUGUGACUUCUACUAAUAAUGCUUCCACCAUAUCUCAAAAAGAAGAUACCGAUACAGGCCCUUCUGCAGCUACCCCAUCAACACAACCUUCCCCCACCCUGCCAGACACCACAGCUGCCCCACCUACAUCUUCCCUAACUACACCAGCACCACAACCUUCCUCACCUGUACUGGACCACACAACUGCCCCAAAUACCACACCUAAUCCUUCCCCAACCACUCCUGCUUCUCCAACUUCCAAAACUACAACUGCACCCACCACCCAAACUACUACUCCAGCCACUACUCUAACUACUUCUGUUGAACAAACAACCUCACCUUCCAGCCAAAAUGCAAAUUCUCAAUUCUGGCAAUAUAUUUAUGAGUUAAUAAAGUACAUUUCUGGUAUUACACCAAAGAAAUAGUACAUCAUACAUUAUGAAGUGUUCUGUUGUCAGACAUGAGUUAUGAGUUACUUUUGUCACCAAUCUCAAAGUGAAAUAGCAAUAUUCUUCAAAUUUAAAGCACUAUCACUAAUCUUUGAAUCUAUUUACCUCACAUGACUUAUUAACAAGAAAAACCACCUCUAUCUCACAAAACAAGUGCAUAACUUUAAUAGAUCACUUUGUGGAACCUAUAGAGACAGCCCUCUGAGGGGGGAAAAGACAUUAACUAAACAGACAAAAUUACAUGGAUCAGGAAACAUUGAUUUUUCCCUAAAUGAUGGAAACCAUAAGGUCACUAUUCUAUAUCCUCAACCAAGAACUCACCUGAAUUGUCUAAUCCCACAAAUAUAAAGGGAUGAUAUCAUGUCUCUCAAACAAAAACAUGUAAAUAUAGAUUAACCUAUAUUGUAGGUUAAUCAUUGUAUUACUGGUUAGAGACAAAAAUUCUUUAAACAAUCAUCCUAAAGCCUUAAAUCCAAUUCCAUUCCACAAAAUGUGAACCAAGGAAGGGAAAGUUGAUUUGAAGUGAAGAUUUGAAGUUAGUGAAAAUGAAAUCUGGCAGCCAAGCACAAACCAGGUCCCUGGCACUAUGUAUUUGAGAGCAUAUGAUUGUUUAGACGUAUGGUUGAUUUUAAUUGUAUUAUAUCUAAGUUAAUUUGCAUCCAAUGUACUUGAUUCUAGCCUCUGUGAAUCACAAAAAACUUUUUGUGUAUGUUCACAUGGUGGUAAUAAUAUUUUACUAUGAAUUCAAUUAAUUUCAUCUUACUAAUUCAAUUAAUUCAAUGUGAAAUGUAUUCAGCAGCAGAAUAUUUUCUAAAACUUUUAGCCAUACAUUUAAAUGUGUUUUAAAGCAAACCAUACUAAACUACUACCCUGGUGUUACAUUUGCAAAACUGUCUCUGAAAAUAAACCCUGAUUGUAGUCAAUAGGAGAAUAACAACUAUCUACUUGGUAUAGAGAGAUAAUGUUAAUUUGGGAUGUGAAGGUAUUUUUACUUUGUUUUACUACUACUGAGAACUCUAAUGAUUUUAUUUAGAUUUUUUGUCAAAUAAUAAAGACUUCUCAUGGCAAUCUGUUUUCACUGCGUGUAUCUGCAAGCCCCUUAUCACUUAGAUUCUGAGAAGGGUGAAAAUGAACGUCUGCAUUUUUGUCAACUCUACCACCAAUUAGCCAAUGACCAAACCAUCCCCAGCCACCUAAGUGUCCAGCUAAAAAUAACACUGUUUUUUAGGUAGGACACUCAAUAUCUCUGAACACUGGGGGUUUUAAUCCUUUAAACAAAGUGGUUAAUUUACUUAGAUUAACUUAAUCUUUACUUAUUUUUAACUUACAAAUACAUUUCCAAUCCAAAUUCUGUGUUUGCCCUGUGCUUCCAGACUGACAAUAAAAGACCCCUAUUCCUUUCACUUAAUUCUGUUCCUUCGGUUUCAUCUCAGACUAGCUUAAAAGGAACUAUCAGAAAGAGAAAUUAAGAAAACAAUUCCAUUUACAAUUGCAUCAGAAAUAAUAAAUCACCUAGGAAUAAAUUUAACAAGGAGGUGAAAGAACUGUACACUGAAAACUGUCAGACACUGAUGAAAGAAACUGAAGAAGACACAAAUAAAUGAAAAGAUAUGCCCUGCUCAUGAAGUGAAAAAUUAAUAUUGUUAAGAUGUCUAUCCUACCCAAAGGAAUCUGCAUACUCAAUGCAAUCUUUGUCAACGUUCUAGUGGCAUUUUUCAUAAAAAUAGAAAAAACAAUUCUAAAUUUGUACGAAGCCAAAAAAGAUUCUGAAUAGCCAAGCAACCUUGAGAAAGUAAAACAAAGCUAGAGGAAUCACACUUUAUUUCAAACUAUAUUACAAAGUUACACUAAUUAAAGGUAAUGGUACAAACAGACACAUAGAUCAAUGAAACAAAAUAGAGAAUCCAGAAAUAAACACACAUAUGUUUGGUCAAUUAACUUAGAACAAAGGAGCCAAGAAUAUACAAAGGGGAAAGGAUAGUCUUUUCAGUAAAUGGCGUUGGAAGAACUGGACACUUAUAUUCAAAAGAAUGAAACUGAAACACCACUAUCUUACACCAUAUACAAAAACCAACUCGAAAUGUAUUAAAGACUUUCAUAUAAGACCUGAAACCAUAAAACUCCUAGAAGAAGACAUGGGGGUAAAAUCUUUGACAUUGAUCUUGACAACAAUUUUUUUUGGAUUUGAUAUCAAAAAAAUAAAAAGCAAAACUAAGCAAGUGAUACAACAUCAAACUAAAAAGAUACACAGAAAAUGAAACCAUCAACAAAAUGAAAAGGCGACCUAUGGCCGAGAGAAAAUAUUUACAAAUCAUAUCUGAUAAGGGGUUAAUAUCCAAAGUAUAUAAAGAACUCCUACAAUUAAUAAAGAAAAAAAUCUGAUUUAAAAAUGGACAUAACUGAAAAGACAUUUUUCUGUAAAAGACAUACAAAUGUCCAAUAGGUAUAUAAAAGUCACUCAACACAACUGAUUAUGAGGAAAUGCAAAUCAAAACCACAAUGAGGGGCACUUGAGUGGUUCAGUUGGUUAACAGUGUGCCUUUGGCGCAGGUCAUGAUCUCAGGGUCCUGAGAUGAAGCCCCACAUCAGGCUCCCUGCUCAGCAUGGAGUCUGCUUGUUCCUCUCCCUCUGCCCCUCCCCUCCACUCAUGAGUGCAUACACAUGCACCUUUGAUUUGUGUCAAUAUGGAAGAAAUAUAAUUUCCAAUACCUGCAUUCUUCCUAGGGAGAAACUCCAGGACAAGUAGAGUUGGUUGGGUCUCAGGUGCCAGGGUGAUAUGUCCCAUCCAAAGCAGCUCAGAGCCCAAAAAAUAAUUGAACACAAGCCACAGGUCUUAUAUAGGGGCAAGGCAGGUGGUGUUGUGAAGAUAUGGAAACCAAGGUCAUUCAAAAUCACAAGAGCAGAAGCACAGGGUCCAGACCUGGUAAAAAACUGGAAUGGAAUAGAUUGAGAGAAAAGGAAAGAAUGGGUUGAAAUGCUUUGAAAAUUAGACUGACUCUUGUUUUUUAUAACCUUCUAGCACAAAUACAUGAGCUGGUCAUCCUGGCUUAAUAGUACAGAUGUGCUGUGUAAAAAAUGACCUAUUUAUUCCUAAUCUACAUAAAUAGAACACACUCCCUAGAUGUUUUCAGUUUUACUAAUAAAAUAGAACCUAGAAACUUUUGCAGUCUGUUAUUGUCUUUCAACAAAAUGAAGAUGAAAUAAGGAAGUACAUAUUUACUAUCUAAAAAUGUUUUAUGAGUUUGAUACAGUACAGUGUGCAGUCUUUAGUACUGAAUAUAUCAUGUCUCCAAAACCUAGGUUCUAAACAGGCUGUAGUUUCCAAAUUUUUGUAAGACUUCCACAAACUUAACCUAUUUUCAUAUUCAACAAUUUCAUUCCUUCUCCUCAACCCGUGUCCUCCCUGAGAGAAUUCCAGCCAAUUUUACAAGAGGCAACCAAAGAAAUAUUCUCCUGUGACUUCAACCAACAGGUUAAAAAUUAUAUAAACUUUUUAAAGAAAUGACCAACAGCAAAGAACAGUGCCACCCUGGGUGGCUCAGUUGGUUCAACAUCUGCCUUGGCUCAGGUCAUGAUCCCAGGGUCCCAGGAUCGAGCCCUGUGUUGGGCUCCCUGCUCAGCAGGAAGUCUGCUUCAACCUCUCCCUCUGCCCCCACCCUGCUCAGGCAUGUGCUCUCUCUCUCUAUUUCUCUCAGUGAAUAAAAAUCUUUAAAAAAAUCUUCGAAAAGACAAACAAUCUCGAAGUAAAAGAGAAAUGAUACAGAAAAAAAAGCCCUAAAACACAUUUAGUGUAAUUAGAGAAUAUUAAAAAACAAGAGAAAACUAAAAGCUUUCAAAAGAAAGAAAAAAAU
rnacentral:lncRNA from 1 species